CCUCCUGAUCCAUCCUUAGUCAAAGGUUCCCAUAUCAGUUGUCAGAAUGACACAGUUUAGUCUGUCAGAAUUAACUUUGUGUAUAUAUUUCCUUCUUUUUCCAGGGCGAUAUGAUCUCAGAUUGCCUCAGAUUAGAUGCAAAGCAUGUGAAGCCACUUGGAGUCCUGGAGUGGAUGACCUGAUCCGUAAUGACUACUGGCCUGCCACUUCUCACUAUUCAACUGUGUAUGCAACAGAUGUCCUUUUUUCUUUUGAAGAGCUGAAGAUGGCAGCACCAGGGAUGUCUAGCCAAGCAUUUCUUAGAAUGCUGGAUCAACGCACUGUUCGAUUUGGCCGUAGUGGAAACAUCACAGCAGACAGCUUCCGGAAAAAGCUUCUUGGAGUGGGAAGCUGUCCGAUUCGAAGUGGACAAAUUAUGCCAGGAGGACCACUUUGACUGCCCAGCGUGCAGCCCAGACAUGCUUGCAGUAUCCGUUGAUGGAAACCGUAAGCACUACAGAUUCAAGAGUGCAGCAAGAUCGGAGGAAAAAGCCAUCUUUGAUGGCGUGUUCAUCGCAAAUGAUGAUGAUGUCGCAAGAUUCGUGGACUAUGUCCAUACCUCAACCAGUCAUGUCUCUGGAAGAGGUGUCUGUGGAGGGCAAUGGUCAGCGGCGCGUGAAACUUCUCAGAAGUCCUCAGGAAAAAAACAGACGAGGAGGGCCUGGAACUCGCUGUAUGUCGUCAUGGGGUUCUCCUUCGUGCCCUCAAUAUGUUCAGGGGGAGAUUUUUUUGCCUACCCCCUGUACCUCCAAAAAGCAAAUGGCCUGUAAGCCAGUUAAAUUUUUUGCAAUGGAUGUGGCAUGCAAGUACUGGCCUUACCUCCAGAGAGUGACAGAGAAAUGCCCUGAGCUUGAGGAUCUCCUCACCAUGAGGCCAUUUCUUUCUGUUUUUCAUGCCAAAGCUCAUGAUUUCAAAUGUGAGGUAAAAUGGAGUGGAGCAUAUCAGGAGGGGGCUGGUUCGACUCUUGGGGAAGAGGUGGAGCAGUGCAACGCCUUCCUCUCGAGGAUUGCUGUUACGACAAAGCACAUGUCAAAAAGCAGGUAAGGUAACCAGUAAAUUUUGAUCCUGAUGACAUGGGUGAGCCACUUAUGCAUAUAUGCUGACUCUGAAAAAUAUAAAGAUCAGAAUAUAUU
ensembl:lncRNA